rnacentral:rRNA from 1 species
AACGUAGGACACAAGCGUUAUCCGGAGUUACUGGGCGUAAAGGGCGUGUAGGCGGAGGUGUAAGUCUAUUCUGAAAGCUCCUGGCUAAACUGGGAGAGGCGAAUGGAGACUGCAUAUCUAGAGUGAGGAAGAGGAAAGUGGAAUUCCGCGUGUAGCAGUGAAAUGCGUAGAGAUGCGGAGGAACACCGAUGGCGAAGGCAGCCCCCUGGGCUGACACUGACGCUCAGGCACGAAAGCGUGGGGAGCAAACAGG